ACCAAAUCUAUCUUACAAAGACAAACGGUUUUUGUCUAAUCGGACGGCCAUACGUGGGCCUUUUUCAGAGAUCGACGGCUGCAAUUGCUUUUAAAAUGGGGAAGGUAAAUCGUGGCUCAGAACUAACCCCCGUUAUAAGCCCCAUCCGACGUCUGUGAUCUCUUUUUGCCGGAAAUCAGAAUUUCCUUCGCCUUCUCCUCUUAUUGUUCUUCCGUUACAGAAACAUAACACCACCAUUCAAUCUCUUUGAAUCAUACGUUAUGAAAACACCAUUAUGUUUCUUUACCAAUCCCUACAAAUAUUCGACUACAUAAACUCCUAAAAAAGUUAUCCUGCGGAGAUUCUCAAUGCUUACCAAUCCCCUUUUUCCUAUCAAGAUUCAUAUUUUGGAGCACCACGGAUUUAUAGUUCAGAGUGAGGUAUCAAUCUCGGGUAAAUGUCAAUUGAAUUCCAUUCCAUUCCGUUUGAAUUGAAUUAUUAAACUUAGCAACUAUUUAGUCACAUCAACUGUUUGUUAUAAUGCAUAUUCAUUUUUGAAUGAUGGGAACCCAUUUUAAUAAAAAAUGAAUGGUCACAUACCAAGGUAAUAAUGCUUACCAGUCCCCUUUUUCCUAUCAUCAGCUAAACUUAUGAUGAUAUAGGAAUCCAUUUUCAUAAGGAUCUUCAGACUCAUUCUUUUUUAGCAUUUUUAUAACUUACUCAUUUACUGAAUUUAAAUUCCGAACCUUUCCCUGCUAUUUAAAUGUUAAUGUGUUGGGGUUUUGUUUUAAAUGAUGUCUAUUACAGACUCUCAGAUCAUCUCUUUAUGAUGGGGAUUAUGUAGAGGCUUUUAGUCAGCCAAAGAUCCUAAUGAGAAAAAUUGCAUUGUAGAGGGCUUCUUUGUUUUUAAUCUAAGCAAGCUGAAAACCGCGUUAAAAUCAAUAAUUUGGGUACAAGCCAUAUCACAACAUUAUUAGGAUGAAGCUGGCCCAGGUCAAGCUCAAGUGUUUUAUUUCUUACCAAUCCCCAAAAUUACCUUUUGGUGUAAUAAUUGGGUGAUACCUUAGGCAACAGAGCCAUCUGAAAACGCAAUAACACAGAUCAAAACCAACUUUAGCAUCAAACACAUAUGAUUUUUUUUUAAAGUAAUAUGAACCUGGAUUCCCUAGGUGAUUUGCUUUUAUUAAAACCAACUUUGCUGCCAAAUGUGUCUUUCCCAAUCCGAUAGCUCUACAUGGACUUCAACCGUGUUCAGCUCUUAUUCCUCUCAAAGAGCAAAAGAUAAAUCGUGCCUGGCAAUGCACCCCCGUUUUAAGCCUUAAUCUGACGUCCCUAAAUCUCCCAUUGAAUGGUAUUAACAUCACCAUUAUUUCGAAUUGGUAUUUCCGUUUUUGUUUUUGAUCAGACAUUCUUUGGGUCUUCUUUUUAUUAAUUUCCAACCAGAUUGAUUAAUGUGCAUUUUCUUCUAGAAUAUUAAGAAAACCAGAAAAGAGAAUAACAUUUUCAUAGUGAUCAAAUGUGGUUUUUAACAUCUCCAAUUUGAGGAUGUACAGAUCAACAUCAACAACAAGGAAAAAUACUGCCACUGCAGUUGAUGGAUUAGCAAGGUUCAUGGACCUGAAAUAAAUCCUAGAGCGAUUAAAAUUGCAACAAUAAUUGUGCCUCAUUUUAAAUUAAAUUAAGCAAGUGCAUUAGCUUUAGGCCUGUAAUCUUAACAUUGUUUAAAUCUUUCAGCAGAAAGUUCCAUGUUUCAAUAUGCCAGUAAUCAAGCCAUAGUUGUUAUCAAUUGUUGGAUGUAAGAUGAGGUAUUUGCGUAAUUACUGUCAUUUGUGGUUGUUCUUCUUCAACUAUUAUCAAUUGCUUGAUUCAUAUCAUUUUUAGUUGUUCUUCUAACUGUUAUCUGUUGUGCCUCACUUAACUGAAAAAAGGUAUCAUUAUCAGCCACGCAGGACCGCUCCAACUGUUUUCGACCCAUUGGUGAAUCGAAAAUCCUUCCCCAUCACAUGUUGAGUUACCAAGAAAUCUGAAGAGUUUAGAUGUUACUAUUUUUCCUGGAUGAAGGAGUAUGCAAGGAAUUGGGUCCUCGCCAAUAUCUUUCACUGCCUGCACAAUUUUAGAUCUUUUGUAUCUCUAAAUGCUCGGCUAUGUAUACAAGACGAAAAAUUGCAUGACAUCAUUCCCAAAAUUCAAAACUAACUAAAAUCGAGUAAUGAAGUUGUCUAUAGAACCUGUUAAUAUGCAUGUAAUAAGUGUUACAAUACUUUGUUACUGUAAGACAGAUCUUAUAAGCUAAGCGAAGCAGGGUCGAAGAUAAACUGAAGACUGGUAUUCAAACUGUUGGGACAACCAGUUCUUGCUUUGGCAUUAGACCAAGCUUGGACUAAAGGCGCUGCUAGCCCUACAAGUGCCACAAGCUCUAGCUUGGUAGUUAUUUGUACAACAGGAGUUAAGAUAGUGGAGAUUGGAGAAUGCUUCUGAGUUGUUCUGGAAAUUAAGCAGGUCCUGAAUCACGGCGCUAACAAAAUGAAUUAGCCUGACAUGACGAUACGAAGUUAACUUUUCUGAAUAUAGUUUGAUGUAUCAAAGAGCACUUACUAUACAUCCAAUUAACAUUUUUACGGAGUGCGAGAAACUAAUUCGUUAGUAGCAAGUUAUAUGAUCAUUUUGAUUU